UACGUAGGGUGCGAGCGUUAAUCGGAAUUACUGGGCGUAAAGCGUGCGCAGGCGGUUAUGCAAGACAGAUGUGAAAUCCCCGGGCUCAACCUGGGAACUGCAUUUGUGACUGCAUGGCUGGAGUGCGGCAGAGGGGGAUGGAAUUCCGCGUGUAGCAGUGAAAUGCGUAGAUAUGCGGAGGAACACCGAUGGCGAAGGCAAUCCCCUGGGCCUGCACUGACGCUCAUGCACGAAAGCUAGGGGAGCGAACGGG
rnacentral:rRNA from 1 species